UUUAACGGAUUUGGCGGCAAGAUAGCCAUUUAGAGGAACCUGCCCUGUAAACGAUGAACCACGAAUUACUCUGCUUUUUCUUGAAAUUCAGUUUGUAUACCGCUGUUGUCAGUUAGUUUCUUUAGAAAACUUUCGAAAAUGAUAAAAAUCAAUGACUUCAAGUAAAGGUGCAGCUUAUGGAAAAGAUAGAGGUGGGUUACAUUUAAUAGAAUAAUAUGGAUAUAGUUUUGAAAUAAACUUUUGAAGGUGGAUUUAAUUGUAAAAUUUAAUUAGAUUUGAUUUGAGCUCUAUCUUGUGUACACACCGCCCG
rnacentral:rRNA from 1 species